UCCAGCUCCCAAUAGCGUAUAUUAAAGUUGUUGCAGUUAAAAAGCUCGUAGUUGGAUUUCGGAAGGUCUUUAGUGGUCCGCCCCUUCGGGGAGCGGGUCACUGGCCUCCUAUGUUCCUAACGGUCCUCAUCCGCGAGGGUGGGGAAUCAACCGCUAGGAUCGUUUACUUUGAGGAAAUUAGAGUGUUCAAAGCAGGCGUAACUCGCCUCCGAAUACGUUAGCAUGGGAUAAUGGAAUACGACUUCGGUCUUGUUUCGUUGGUUUCGCUUGGCUGAAGUAAUGAUUGAUAGGGACAGUUGGGGGCAUUAGUAUUUAGUUGUCAGAGGUGAAAUUCUAGGAUUUACUAAAGACUGACCAAUGCGAAAGCAUUUGCCAAGGAUGUUUUCAUUAAUCAAGAACGAAAGUAGGGGGAUCGAAGACGAUCAGAUACCGUCGUAGUCUCUACCGUAAACUAUGCCGACCAGGGAUCCGGAGAGUUUGCAUGGAUGACUCCCCGGGCACCUUGUGAGAAAUCAUAAGUGUUUGGGUUUUGGGGGGAGUAUGGUCGCAAGGCUGAAACUAAAGGAAUGACGAAGCACCCACGAUGUC
rnacentral:rRNA from 1 species